rnacentral:rRNA from 1 species
UACAGAGGUCUCAAGCGUUGUUCGGAUUCAUUGGGCGUAAAGGGUGCGUAGGCGGCGCGGUAAGUCGGGUGUGAAAUCUCGGAGCUUAACUCCGAAACUGCAUUCGAUACUGCCGUGCUUGAGGACUGGAGAGGAGACUGGAAUUUACGGUGUAGCGUGAAAUGCGUAGAUAUCGUAAGGAAGACCAGUGGCGAAGGCGGGUCUCUGGACAGUUCCUGACGCUUGAGGCACGAAGGUCAGGGGGAGCAAAACGGGG